UUGCAAUGCCUGCACUGCCCAUACCUACGCCACUGAUGACAAUGCCUUGGGUUGCCUAAGAUAAGGAGUCGAAAGUAGGUCGCCACACCUACCCACCACUUUAAAAAGUUUUAAAAAGCGACUUUGAGAGGGCGCCUUCUCAUUCAAAAUUUAGUUGCACCAUUACUUCCUGGUUGGUGCAAGAGGGUCGUCGUCGUCGUCGGUAUAGCCUAGGCGUAGGCCAGAGAGAGAGGGAGUUGAAAUUGUAUCCUAACCUACAUACUUGACUUUAAAUAAUACCAGUCACAUAUUCAACUAAAGGAUGAGCUAAGAUGUGAUGCUACAACUCAGAAAGACAUCUAGAGGCAAAUUAUUGAGGCAGAGUUGAAAAGGGAGCUAGGUAGUCUUUCAAGCAAACCACUUAGCAAUUUUAGAAUAAAAAAUCAAAACAAUUUGUGCAAAAGGGAAAUGCAUAGACCCAGUAAGAUAAAAACUCUUGUGGAUGGUCAGCCUGAAACAAUACGACAAGGGGACACAAAAACAAGCACAAAGAAAGAGGACACAACUCAGGACAAAGAAGACACAACCCAGGGCAAAGAAGACACAACCCAGGACAAAGAAGACACAACCCAGGACAAAGAAAACACAACCCAGGACAAAGAAGACACAACCCAGGACAAAGAAGGCACAACCCAGGACAAAGAAGACACAACCCAGGACAAAGAAGACACAACC